rnacentral:rRNA from 1 species
AUUGAACGCUGGCGGCGUGCUUAACACAUGCAAGUCGUGCGGUAACAGGCGUAGCAAUACGUGCUGACGAGCGGCGAACGGGUGCGUAAUACAUGGGAAUCUGCCUUUUAGUGGGGAAUAACCCGGCGAAAGCCGGGCUAAUGCCGCAUAAGAUCUUCGGAUGAAAGCGGGGGAUCGUAAGACCUCGCGCUGAUAGAUGAGCCCAUGCCGGAUUAGCUAGUGGUGAGGUAACGGCUCACCAAGGCGACGAUCCGUAGCUGGUCUGAGAGGACGGCCAGCCACACUGGGACUGAGACACGGCCCAGACUCCUACGGGAGGCAGCAGUGGGGAAUAUUGGGCAAUGGGGAAACCCUGAUCCAGCGACGCCGCGUGUGUGAAGAAGGCCUGCGGGUUGUAAAGCAC